rnacentral:rRNA from 1 species
CCCUUAGACGUUCUGGGCCGCACGCGCGCUACACUGACGGAGCCAGCGAGUAUAAACCUUGGCCGAGAGGCCUGGGAAAUCUUGUGAAACUCCGUCGUGCUGGGGAUAGAGCAUUGUAAUUAUUGCUCUUCAACGAGGAAUUCCUAGUAAGCGCAAGUCAUCAGCUUGCGUUGAUUACGUCCCUGCCCUUUGUACACACCGCCCGUCGCUACUACCGAUUGAAUGGCUUAGUGAGGCUUCCGGAUUGGUUUAGAGAAGGGGGCAACUCCAUCUUGGAACCGAGAAGCUAGUCAAACUUGGUCAUUUAGAGGAAGUAAAAGUCGUAACA